AUACCUUUCUCGGCCUUUUGGCUAAGGUCAAGUGUAGUAUCUGUUCUUAUCAGUUUAAUAUCUAAUAUCUGAUAUGUGGGUUAUCGACCCAUAUGAUAUUAACUCUAUUUUCUAAGGGGGAAGGUCUACCACGGUAGCUUGCUAUUGGGGCCUUCAAGUUUGGCCUUGGUGUUGCACUAUUGCCUUGGCGUGGCGCACCCCAC